CCUGGUCGCUAAGCCAGGUCGGGCCUGGUUAGUACUUGGAUGGAAGACUGCUUGGGAAUAUCAGGUGCUAUAGGC
rnacentral:rRNA from 1 species